UACGGGGGGGGCAAGCGUUGUUCGGAAUUACUGGGCGUAAAGGGCGCGUAGGCGGUUUGCUAAGUUGAAUGUGAAAACUCUGGGCUUAACCCAGAGCCUGCAUUCAAUACUGGCAGGCUAGAGUUCUGGAGGGGAUAGCGGAAUUCCUGGUGUAGCGGUGAAAUGCGUAGAUAUCAGGAGGAACACCGGUGGCGAAGGCGGCCUUCUGGGCCUGUUCUGACGCUGAGGAGCGAAAGCGUGGGGAGCAAACAGG
rnacentral:rRNA from 1 species